GAUAUGUUAUAAGCAUUUGUAGCAGUUUACUGUAAUGAUUAGGAUGAAUAUUUGACACCUUUAGAAUUUUCCUAUAAUGAUAGUAUUCAAGCAAGUAUUGAUCAUUCACUAUUCUUUUUUAAAACAAAUUAGCAUCUGAUUAUACUAGCAACUCUUUAUUGUUCCAUCGACACUAACAAUCCAACUAUAGAGGAGUUUGUAUAAUAACUUAUAACAACCUUGUAGGAAGCACGACACUAUUUCAUUGCUGCACAGAGUCGAUAGAAGUAGUAUCCAGAUAACCAUCAGUAACACAAGACCGUCCGGAAGGAUAAUCAGGUAUUACUCUCCA
rnacentral:lncRNA from 1 species